AGAGGACGCCAUCUUCAGCCAUGUAUAUAUCGUAGGUGGUGCGGUGUGAAUGUACGUGUGAUUUCGUUAUUUUCGAGUGAUAUCCCUUAAUUAUUUAUUUGCCGAAUUUCAGGGGGAUUCGCGAAACCUGCCCGUAUUCCCGUACCGCCGUGGUGAACGUGACGCGAACGUGACAGUAAUCGACGCCUCGUUCGAUGAUCGGGAAAUACGGGGUUUACGGACACUCGUUCUCUGAACUUCUUUCGCUUCGUAAUUUGUUUACAAAUCCCUCAUGCUGUCUUGCGUCUAGGCUGUAACCUUAAGAACUACGUUUUAGAGUACAGGAUUAUAGAUUACGUCGGAGAGUUGCUGCAAGUCGACGAGGAUUUCUGCGAUAGUGGGGAACUAGCCUUUGUCCGUUUUUAUAACCUGACAACGCGGACGAGGCUUCUCUGUUAUCAUGUCAUUGCGUCUUUGACAGAGUAUCAAGUGAUUUAGAAUUAUCUAUUCAGCGUUAAGAUGUGGUCGUCACAAGGGAGUAACUCCACUGGGAGUACCCCGCCAAACACAAUGCAGAAUUUACGUACUCUGGGAAUGACAUCUGCUAUUAGUAUAGCGGAACCAAAACCGAGCGAUCUUAACAGAACGAAUGAAUUGAAAGAUGCAUUGAAACCUUAUAAUGUUUUUGAAUCGGAGGAAGAAUUAAAUCACAGAAUGGAAAUUUUAAGUAAACUCAAUACUUUGGUUAAACAAUGGAUAAGAGACACUAGUAUUGCUAGGAACAUGCCACCAAAUGUAGCGGAGCAAGUCGGGGGGAAGAUUUAUACAUUCGGAUCGUAUAGAUUAGGUGUCCACCAUAAGGGAGCGGAUAUUGAUGCUCUGUGUGUCGUCCCACGUCACAUAUAUAGAUCAGACUAUUUCACGUCAUUCUUCGAACUACUGAAGUUGCAGCAAGAAGUAACAGAUUUAAGGGCAGUGGAAGAAGCCUUUGUACCUGUUAUAAAAAUGAAUUUCGAUGGAAUAGAAAUAGAUAUGCUGUUUGCAAAAUUGGCUCUUAAAGAAAUCCCUGACUCAAUGGAUCUCAAAGAUGACAUGCUUCUUAAAAAUUUGGACCAAAAAUGUGUACGGAGCCUUAAUGGUUGUCGAGUGACCGAUGAAAUAUUACGUUUAGUACCUAAUAUAGAAAAUUUUAGACUUGCAUUAAGAGCGAUAAAAUUAUGGGCAAAAAGACAUGGGAUUUAUAGCAAUGUAUUAGGUUACCUGGGUGGAGUUUCUUGGGCAAUGCUGGUAGCUCGAACUUGCCAACUGUACCCAAAUGCUGUUGCUGCGACUCUAAUAGAGAAAUUUUUCCUAGUGUUCUCCCAGUGGAAAUGGCCACAACCAGUUCUUCUUAAACAACCUGACACCGUCAACUUAGGUUUUCCUGUCUGGGAUCCACGAGUAAAUGUAUCAGACAGGUACCACUUGAUGCCAAUAAUUACACCUGCAUACCCGCAACAAAACUCUACAUUCAACGUUUCGGUAUCAACGAGAACAAUAAUGCAAGAGGCAUUUGAAACGGGUUUAUCAAUAACAGAAGAAAUUAUUAUGGGAAAAGCAACGUGGGACAAGUUAUUUGAGCCGCCAAACUUCUUUAGCAAAUACAAACACUAUAUAGUGUUGUUGGCGAGUAGUUUGACUGCCGAAGAUCAGCUUGAAUGGUGUGGUCUAGUCGAGUCAAAAAUACGACAUUUAAUAGGAACACUGGAAAGGAAUCCUUACAUUACAUUGGCACAUGUCAAUCCUGAUUCAUUUCCUCCGUUGAUCCCGGAAUCUGGAAGACAUUGUUCGAUGUGGUUCAUCGGAUUGUUAUUUGCAAAAAGCGAAAAUCUGAAUGUCGAUCUCACAUUCGACAUCAAAUCCUUCGUCGAUACGAUCGAAAGGCAAGCCGAACAAAUAAGUAUGUUAAAAGAAGGCAUGUGGAUAGAAGCUAAACAUGUUAAGAGAAAGGAUUUAAGCGCCUACGUGAUACCAAGCCUUUUACGAAGGGAACGGAAGGUAUCUGGGGGUACACAUAAGAAUGGAAAUGUUGGAGGAAACGGAAAUGGGACUGGAGGUGGAGUGUCUCCAAAGUCUCAAAACGAUAUACCCAAUCGGAAACGACUAUCCGAUCAAAUUGAUGCAAACGGUAAAAAGAGACGCGUCACCGACGGUGAACAACAGAUAACACAGGGAGAAGAUGGUUCCCUAGUCGUUCAAUCUUGUGGGGAGGAUAGCAACUCUGGAUUUAGUUUAGACGAGUACAAGCAGUUACCGACCAACUUACCAACGGCUAAAGACGUAAGAAAUCGGGAAGCACCGGCAAGCAAUGCUCCAGUAGUGCAGGAGGGAUUCGUAUGCACUUGACUAUUACGAGGUGUUACAUCGCGCCAAUCUACGGAUGCUCUUCUGGGUCGUCUAGAACAUUACGUACACCGUAUACACAUGUAAACGUGAAAUAGAAGAUCUACAGAUGGAACAUACAAGCCUUGGCUGUUCCCUCAGCGGUCGUGGUGUACAAGUAAGUUUCGUAUAAAGUCGCCUUUUCGUUUCUCACACGUUCGGAUCAGGCUUUUACCUUGAAACAAUGUUACAACGUUGUUACGUGGAUUACUCGAAUAACUCUUGUCAUCUGUUAAUGGACUUCUCCAUAAAUCUGA
rnacentral:misc_RNA from 1 species